rnacentral:rRNA from 1 species
GACGAACGCUGGCGGCGUGCUUAACACAUGCAAGUCGAACGGAAAGGCCCUGCUUUUGUGGGGUGCUCGAGUGGCGAACGGGUGAGUAACACGUGAGUAACCUGCCCUUGACUUUGGGAUAACUUCAGGAAACUGGGGCUAAUACCGGAUACGAGCUCCUGCUGCAUGGUGGGGGUUGGAAAUUUUGGGCGGGUGGGGAUGGACGCGCGGCUUAUCAGCUUGUUGGUGGGGUGCUGGCUUACCAAGGCUUUGACGGGUAGCCGGCCUGAGAGGGUGACCGGCCACAUUGGGACUGAGAUACGGCCCAGACUCCUACGGGAGGCAGCAGUGGGGAAUAUUGCACAAUGGGCGGAAGCCUGAUGCAGCGACGCCGCGUGCGGGAUGACGGCCUUCGGGUUGUAAACCGCUUUCGCCUGUGACGAAGCGUGAGUGACGGUAGUGGGUAAAGAAGCACCGGCUAACUACGUG